rnacentral:lncRNA from 1 species
CUCAGUUCCACUGAGAUGUUUUCGCCGGGCUUUGUACAACCAGCACGUUGAUGGAGCUCAGCUUGUGUGCACUUGGAAGCCGCCUCAGCUUCUGUCCUGUAUUGCUCCUUUAAGAUUUAUUCAGCUGGAUUCAUGUUCCCUGGCUCAGGAUGAAAACCCUGGCAGGCCUGCACUUUUCUGCUCCUCUUAGGAAAUAGUCUGUCCAAUGCUCCCUUUAAUCGAAAAACAGUCUCAAUUUGGAAUUUUAAUAUCCCGGCCAAGACAUUAGUCAAAACUCCAAAUUUUAACAUCCCUCCCCCUUCCCACUGCCUCCAAGCCAGCAGAGGCUAGAUGUCGGCAUGGGAAAGCAAUGUGGACGGUCACCUUCCUCUCCUGCUUGGGCUCCUGCUCUGCCUCUCUCCUUGCAGGGUGGGGCUGGGCAAGAGGGGGCCAAGGCAGCCUCCCUUGAGCUGGUGCUGGGAGCUGACUCUGCAUUCUCUGAGGGGUGUGUGUGUGUGUGUGUGUGUAUGAAGGUGCCCUUGGCGUUGGUGGGCUCUUCUGGGGGCUGCCCUUCCUUGACCCUCUUCUGGGCUGUCACUUGAGACUUGGUCCUCCGUCCCUUGGGUUCACCUCUGACUUAUGGCUGCUGAAGUUUCUGCCCCUCCAGAUGGCCUCUGUGGUCAGGCCCCUAGUGAACUGUCCCUGUUCCCUUUCCACAUGGCUUGGAUCCUCCUGGAUCACCAGUUCUGACAAGCUCAGGGGCAGAGGUCAACCCAACCAGGGCUCACCCCCGGUUCUGACACCUGAGCAGGUGGUGGCCAUGGACAUCAGGUCCCUGUGGUACUGUGACAGCAUCCCUGGACCACUGCCUCUGUAAUACUGUCUCUGCUGCCCUCUAGGAGGACAUGAAUGAUUGCAUUUGGGGCCCUGUACUCUCAUUUAGGGGGAACCCAGCACGAUUUUCCUGUUUCACAAUCCUUAAUCACAAUGACACAGACCCAAUGAGACCUGGCAUCUUGGGCCUUUUCUUCCUUCAGCUAGAGGGCGUGCCAUGGCAAGCUGGGAGUAGCUUGGACGUGUGGGCAGCGUGUUGGGCAGGAGCACAGCUUCCCCACAGAAGCACCUCGCAGAAUCCUGGCUUCAAAUCCUGUCUCACAGCCAGCCGGCUCUUCAUCUUCUGCAGGGUUGAGGAGGCCUGAGGUUAGACAGUGUCACUCCAGUGUCACUCCUA